UUUGUUUGUAUGUAUGUGUGUGUGUGUAUGUGUAUACAUACAUAUAUACAUACAUACACACACACACACAAACAAACA